UCAAGACUUUGUUCCAAAAAAACUAAAGAGGUCAAGCCUGCCACAGAGACGAGAGAGAGAGAGAGAGAGAGAGAGUGAGAGAGGAAGUAGGGACUAGGGAGGAGCGACUCAAAUGGCUUCAACAUCUUCAUGGAACCUGAUUCUCCAAACAAGCUCCUUGAUAGUAAGGAACGGCACUAAGGUUACUCACCGGGAGGUUUUCGACUCCUCAAGUGGUCUACUUAAGGUGGUGGCUUGUGCAGGCGUUGGCAUUGAUAACUUCAAUUUGUCCCAGGCUGAUUCCUCUAUCAAAGCAGGUUCACGUUGCUUCUUAUUCUUUGGUUUUUUAUUUUCUAACCUCUCAUUCAUGCAAUUAUUCUAGCGGUUUAUGGUGGGUUCUUUGAAUUUUUUCAUUAUUAUAAGGUUAACGUUUAGGGUUUAUGGUCUAUUGGUUUUCUAUUUUGCCUAAACUGGGUUUCGGGUAUUUGAUUGAUUUUUUUCAUUUAAUUCGAAGACACCGCACACUGGCAAACUGUUCCAGUACAUAGUCACAACUUGACGUGCCUUUUCCCUUAUUCCUUUCAAGUGGAUAUGCAUUUCAUGUUCAGGGAAGUGGCAGUGAAACAAGCAUGUAGGGACGCAUAUAGGUGGGAAAACACUUGCAAUAAUGGUUGGAUCAGGAAGUUGCUCGGCGUGAAAGGAGCUUAGUAUGCAUGUUAUUGCACACGAUCCAUAUGCCCCUGCGGAUCGUGCACACUCAGUUGUUGUGGAGCUGGUGGCCUUCAACGAGGCCAUAUCAACUGCAGAUUUCAUUUCCAUGCGCAUGCCUCUCACCGCUGCUACAUCCAAAAUGUUCAAUGACGAUGCUUUCUCUAAGAUGAAAAAUGGAGUACGAAUAUUUAAUGUUGCUCAAGUUGGAGUGAUUGAUGAAGAAGCCUUAUUUAGGGGCCCUGGAUUCUGGAUUUGCUGCUCAAGUUCUGUUCUGUUAUUAAGGAUCCUCAUUAACUAAUUCAAGUAAACAACAUCUAAAGAGUUAGAUUUAUUCUUUUUCGUUUUCUGGCUGCACUUGAUGUCUUCACUGACGAGCCUCCUCCAAAUGACGGCAAGUUGGUGCAGCAUGAAAAUGUUACUGCAGCUCCUCAUCUUGUGCUAGCACUACAAGGGCUCAGGAAGGUGUGGCUAUUGAAAUUGCUGAAGCUGUUCUUGGGGCUUUGAAAGGGGAGCUCUCCGCAACUGCUGUGAAUGCAGCCAUGGUCCCUGAUAUGCAGGUGGAUUUGUCUUCAUGUAUGCUGCUUAAUCUAGGCCAGAGUCCACCCAUAUCCUUGAAAUGCAAAUGAAUGGCUGUUCUUCUUUUGGCUGCACACAUUAGAAAAUUUGUCUUCAUGUAUGCUGCUUAAUCUAGGGCAGAGUCCACCCAUAUCAUUGAAAUGCAAAUGAAUGGCUGUUCUUAUUUUGGCUGCACACAUUAGAAAAUAAAGGCAUUAGUGGGCAAAACUCUGCAGCGUACACCCUUAUAACUAGAGCCGUGGUAACUCCAUCUCCAUGUGCUUUUUCCCUAGUUCACGGUUCUUAUCAGAACUAGCACCGUUUGUUACCUUGGUAGAAAAGCUGGGCAGACUAAUUUUGCAAUUGGUUGCACAAUUAGUCUGUAUCAGGAAUUUGGUUACACGAUUGGGAAAUUUAUAUUCAAUAAACCGUUAUCCUUGUUACUACCCUGUUGUUGGUAGUUUCUGGUUCGUUUUUCGUAUGCCAACCCCAACUAAUUAACUACCAACAUAUUUGAAAGACAGCCACUAAAAACUUUUGUAAAACACUUCUUGCUGGGGAAGAGACUGCUGACUAGAGGCCUAGUUGGCCUUACUGGGUCAAAUGUAGACACUCUGUAUCUUUGGGAGAAAGAGUCACUUGGAUACCAAGUUCUUGAAAAUUUUCCGAACUGGGGCUUUUUAUUAUUAUUAUUAAUUAUUAUUGUAACCAACAAAGGCCAAAGCUAUUACAUCUUUGGCAUGUUAUACCAUACAAUAGGGCAAGUCCAGAGAGACUAUCAAUUACGUGUCCAGACCAUUGAAGAUGUUAGCCACGUUGCAAGGAGGAGUGGCCAACUCACAGAGGACGUGUCCCGACCAGGUAUUCGCUACCUGUUGGCUACAGCAAUGAAAUUGUAUUAUAUGAAUUGAUUCAGGGAGCAAUGCAACAUAAGGGAGGGGAGGUGUACCUUUGACAACUAACCAUGACAGUCAGACUUAAAACUCUGCUACAACAAACAUCAGACUGCAGCAUGAGUGUUACGAAUGGAAGUGAAGAGAUAAAGGAAGAAGGUGCGAUCGAGACCAAGGUGGAGGCGGUAGAUUACGGUUCACCUGCAGCUAAAGACCAACAACCCCACAAAGAAAAUGCAAGUGCGGUUCAUCCGACUCGCAAGGGACCUGGUUCACCCAGAGGCCGUGGUGGUGGUGUCCUAGCCGAUGCAGCUCAAGCAGUUGGAAAAACCUUUCAAUCUGUGAAGGAUACCAGUUCUGGCGGUGGGCAAAGAUGAAAGCAAACAAUGAUGCCUUCCAACAUGCUUGGAAUUUGUUAUCGGGGAAUGCAAUUGUUAGACUUUGUCUUGGGAUUAUAGCUCGUAAUUUCAAGCAGCAUUUUAAAAUAUAUGGAAUUGCUUGGUAUUUGUUUGUUUUGUUUAGAAUUUUCUUUUCCGCGGGCUUAAAUAUUACUGUAUUUGUUCCUCUGUAACGUGGAUUAUAGUACUUGUUGUUGAUUAAA